AACAUCGCCUCUUGCCCCCAGAGUAUAAGAGGUCCCGCCUGCCCUGUGACGAAAGUUUAACGGCCGCGGUAUUUUGACCGUGCGAAGGUAGCGUAAUCACUUGUCUUUUAAAUAGAGACCUGUAUGAAUGGCAUAACGAGGGCUGAGCUGUCUCCUCCUUUUAGUCAAUGAAAUUGAUCUGCCCGUGCAGAAGCGGGCAUGAGAACAUAAGACGAGAAGACCCUAUGGAGCUUUAGACGAAGGGUAGAUCACGUUAAGGUGCCUAAGCAACCAGGGUAAAACCAAGUGCCUACUAGCCCAUAUGUCUUUGGUUGGGGCGACCGCGGAGCGACAACUAACCUCCACGAGGAAUGGGGAAUCCCCCCUGAAGCCAGAGCCACAGCUCUAGUUAGCAGAAAUUCUGACCACCAGAUCCGGCAUUGCCGAUCAACGGACCCAGUUACCCUAGGGAUAACAGCGCAAUCCCCUUCUAGAGCCCAUAUCGACAAGGGGGUUUACGACCUCGAUGUUGGAUCAGGGCCUCCUAAUGGUGCAGCCGCUAUUAAGGGUUCGUUUGUUCAACGAUUAAAGUCCUACGUGA
rnacentral:rRNA from 1 species